rnacentral:tRNA from 1 species
AAAAUUUUAGUUUAAAUAAAAUAUUUCUUUUACAUUGAAAAGAUUAAAUUUAAUAUUUAAAAUUUUA